UAAAUGGGUUAUUGUUGCCCAGGGCUGUCCGUGGUACCGGGAGUAGUGACCCGAGUAGUUCCAAGACUGCAUCAAUCGGCCGAAUUGCGUAAGACCGAUGGCAGGGUACAUCUUUGAGAGUGCUGUCGCAAGGGAACGCGCUAAUCCGGAGAAUGGGGUGAGACUCCUCUGAAAUCCGGUGUUGCUUCAUUCCACGGGAAGCCCAAACAGAAUGAAACACGCAGAUAGUUGUCGAAUUUGCGGAACAUUAAUUCUGA
ncrna:unclassified sequences Hairpin-meta2 ribozyme sequence